UAUGUAAUUGUGGUGGCUGCUAGGGGUUAGGGAUCAGAUAUGGUAAUGUUGGGAGGCUAAGGGUUGGGUUUACAGAUAUGGUAAUGUGUGGAGGCUAGGGGUUAGGCCACAGAUAUGGUCAUGUGUGGAGGCUAGGGGUUAGGCCACAGAUAUAUGGUCAUGUGUGGGGCUAGGGUUUAGGGUUCAGCUAUAUUAAUGUGUGGAGGCUGGGUUAGGGUACAGAGA
rnacentral:lncRNA from 1 species